ACGCUCACACCUACGGAGGCAGCAGUCGGGAAUAUUGCGCAAUGGAGGAAACUCUGACGCAGUGACGCCGCGUAUAGGAAGAAGGUUUUCGGAUUGUAAACUAUUGUCGUUAGGGAAGAAAAAAGACAGUACCUAAGGAGGAAGCUCCGGCUAACUACGUGCCACAGCCGCGGUAAUCUGAGCGGGCUGGCAAGGC
rnacentral:rRNA from 1 species